UACGGAAGGCAGCAGGGGGAAUAUUGCACAAUGGGCGAAAGCCUGAUGCAGCUAUGCCGCGUGUAUGAAGAAGGCCUUAGGGUUGUAAAGUACUUUCAUCGGGGAGGAAAAAACAAAACUAAUAAUUUUAUUUCUUGACGUUACCCGAAAAAGAAGCACCGGCUAACUCCGUGCCAGCAGCCGCGGUAAUACGGAGGGUGCUAGCGUUAAUCAGAAUUACUGGGCGUAAAGAGCACGUAGGUGGUUUUUUUAAAGUCAGAUGUGAAAUCCCUGGGCUUUAACCUAGGAACUGCAUUUUGAAACUGAAAUACUAGAGUAUCGUAGAGGGAGGUAGAAUUCUAGGUGUAGCGGUGAAAUGCGUAGAUAUCUGGAGGAAUACCUGUGGCGAAAGCGGCCUCCUAAACGAAUACUGACACUGAGGGUGCGAAAGCGUGGGGAGCAAACAGGGAUUAGAUACCCGU
rnacentral:rRNA from 1 species